CGCGUAGGCGGCUUGGCAAGUCAGAUGUGAAAGCCCCGGGCUUAACCCGGGAAUUGCAUCUGAAACUGCUUUGCUUGAGUCCUGGAGGGGAUAGUGGAAUUCCCAGUGUAGCGGUGAAAUGCGUAGAUAUUGGGAGGAACACCUGCGGCGAAGGCGGCUAUCUGGACAGUGACUGACGCUGAUGCGCGAAAGCUAGGGGAGCGAACG
rnacentral:rRNA from 1 species